AACAGUUUCAAGAAAAACCGCAGCCUGAAGAAAAAACAAAUAAUAAAAUUAAACUUAUGUUAUUGAAUGCAGUAAACUGUAGUGUAUACACGUGGUAGAUGACAAUUGCAGAUGAAAUAAUCAUGCGAGUACCAUUUAAUUUAUCAAGAUGUUUGGUGCGUAGAACAAAAAAAAGAAGGAACAUACAAAUAAUAUAAUGCAUUUGAAAACCGAUAUUAUUAAAUACGAUAUAUACGGAACAGCUACUAAUUGCAUUUGGAGGAAAGGAAUGAAAGUUUUAUACUAUAUGUAAUGUGAUCCAAAAUCAUAAAAUAAUGGAUUAAUGGAUUGAUAGAAUAAUGAAUUAAUGAAUUAAUAAAAUAAGGUAUUAACAUAUUCUAAGGAUAAUGAAUUAAUAUAUUGACAGAAUAAUAUAAGGUACAUAUAUUGAAUUAACGGAUGUACAGAAUAAUCGAUUAACAGAUCCACAAAAUAAUGUAUUAAUAUAUUCAUAAAACAAUGGAUUCAUAAGAUUCAUAAGAAUAAGAAUAAUGGGUUAACGGUUUCUCAAAUUAAUGGAUAAACGUGUCAAUAGCUGUGUGGGCCAUCGGCUGGAUUUUCCAUUCAAAUCAUUGUGACUGUUUCAUAUAAAAUGAAAUAUGAAUCAUGCAGCGUUGUGACUUACAAGGGAGCAUAUAGGAUAAUCUAUUCCAUUCCGUGAGAAGAUCUACUUAGAAAAGAUUUCGCAGACAUGAUUUAUUCUGUUCUGUGUCAAAAAUUGGCACUAGUAUCACUCAUCUGCACUUAUUCUGUUACUUUCUUUGUUAAUAUUUUUUUGUUCAUAAUGUAUGCAGUCAUUUUUUGAGUAAACUUUCUAUUUUUUUCACUUU